rnacentral:rRNA from 1 species
UACGAAGGGUGCAAGCGUUAUUCGGAAUGACUGGGUGUAAAGGGCGUGUAGGUGGUUUGCUAAGUCAAUUGUUAAAGAGCUCGGCUUAACCGGGCAAAGGCAAGUGAAACUGGUGAACUAGAGUGCGGAAGAGAAGAGUGGAAUUCUCGGAGUAGCGGUAAAAUGCGUAGAUCUCGAGAGGAACACCGGUUGCGAAGGCGGCUCUUUGGUCCGCUACUGACACUAAAGCGCGAAAGCGUGGGGAGCAAACAGG